rnacentral:rRNA from 1 species
UACGUAGGGUGCGAGCGUUAAUCGGAAUUACUGGGCGUAAAGCGCACGUAGGCGGCUUUGUAAGUUAGAGGUGAAAGCCCGGGGCUCAACCCCGGAAUUGCCUUUAAGACUGCAUCGCUAGAAUUGUGGAGAGGUAAGUGGAAUUCCGAGUGUAGAGGUGAAAUUCGUAGAUAUUCGGAAGAACACCAGUGGCGAAGGCGACUUACUGGACACAUAUUGACGCUGAGGUGCGAAAGCGUGGGGAGCAAACAGG